AUUGAACGCUGGCGGCAGGCCUAACACAUGCAAGUCGAACGACUGGCGGACUGGUGAUUAAUUUCUUGGAACCUGCCUUAUGGAGGCGGAUAACUACUGGUACCGGUAGCUAAUACCCCAUCCCAUCGGAUGUCCCCAGAUGGGCUUAGCUCGUAGGUGGGGUAAAGGCUAACCUAGGCGACGAUCCCUCUCUGGUCUGAGAGGAUGACCAGCGACACUGGAACGGAGCCACGGUCCAGACUCCUACGGGAGGCAGCAGUGGGGAAUAUGGCACAAUGGGCGAAAGCCUGAUGCAGCCAUGCAGCGUGUAUGAAGAAGGCCCUAGGGUUGUAAAGUACUUUCAGGCGGGAGGCGUUAGCGAAAGAAGAAGCACCGGCUAACUCCGUGCCAGCAGCCGCGGUAAUUG
rnacentral:rRNA from 1 species